GCAGGGAAGAGGAAGAAAGAGACAGCAUAAGAGCGCUAGGAAUGGGAACAUAGAGAAAAUCUUAACUAUUUUGUUUUCACCUAUCGUAUUGGAGGUUCAAACAUUUAGUUGUGUGCUUUUCUGAGGCCUCCCAUUCCUAUGGUUCUUGAGCACUCCUUCCUCUCCCCUUUCGCU
rnacentral:pre_miRNA from 1 species